rnacentral:rRNA from 1 species
AGCAACGCGAAGAACCUUACCAAGACUUGACAUCCCGAUGACCCCUCUAGAGAUAGAGGUUUCUCUUCGGAGACAUCGGUGACAGGUGGUGCAUGGUUGUCGUCAGCUCGUGUCGUGAGAUGUUGGGUUAAGUCCCGCAACGAGCGCAACCCUUAAUCUUAGUUGCCAGCAUUCAGUUGGGCACUCUAAGGUGACUGCCGGUGACAAACCGGAGGAAGGUGGGGAUGACGUCAAAUCAUCAUGCCCCUUAUGUCUUGGGCUACACACGUGCUACAAUGGGCAGUACAAAGGGUAGCGAGACCGCAAGGUGGAGCCAAUCCCAAAAAGCUGCUCUCAGUUCGGAUUGCAGGCUGCAACUCGCCUGUAUGAAGCCGGAAUUGCUAGUAAUCGCGGAUCAGCAUGCCGCGGUGAAUACGUUCCCGGGUCUUGUACACACCGCCCGUCACACCACGAGAGUUUGUAACACCCGAAGUCGGUGAGGUAACCGUAAGGAGCCAGCUGCCGAAGGUGGGA